CAGAAAAGGAAGGUUAGCUGUGGAUCCGGGAAGUGGAGGUGCUGCCCGCCCCGCUGGAGGAAGCUAGGGCUUGUGUUUAGUGGUGCACAGAAGCUUGGAGUUGGGGUGACAGCUCAUGAUGUGGCAUUUUCUGAGUCACGAUACCAUCCACACUGAGAGUCACAUGCCCAAGCCAGAGCCAGAUGCAAGCCUAGCAAAGCCAAGGUCAGGCUGAGCUCAGAAAUGAGAGGGAAGAGGUUGCACGUAGGAGAGCAGCAGGGCUGGGAGGACUGAGAAGCUGUGGCAGCAAUGGAAACAGAUGUCGUGGUAGCAGUUGGCGAGGGGUGACGACAGUCGCUAACAGCUCAUCCCGAGGGGAGGGGACUCAAGGAAGGCCUAGGUGAUGGCACUGAUUGGGCUUUAGACACAACAGCGCUACAAACAAACCUGGCUUGUAAUCUGAGGAAAUUGGAAGGUGCAGGAACCACAGAUGCACCCUGGCAUGCCCAGCUGGGAUGAUGUCCAGGUGCAGGAUCACAGGUGCACCCUGACAUGCCCAGCUGGGAUGAUGUCCAGGUGCAGGAUCACAGGUGCACCCUGGCAUGCCCAGCUGGGAUGAUGUCCAGGUGCAGGAUCACAGGUGCACCCUAGCAUGCCCAGCUGGGAUGAUGUCCAGGUGCAGGAUCACAGGUGCACCCUGGCAUGCCCAGCUGGGAUCUACGUCCUUUAUGAAGGUGCUGUGAUGUGUGUUAUGCAUGGACUGAAUGUAGUAAUUACCAUGGUUGAUAACCAAAGAAGUAAAAUGUAUGUUCUCUUUUCAUAAGAAUGAAGCCAUGGUAAAUUAUUCACCCAUGUGUGAUAUAUUAUUAAAACCGCACAACAUCUGAAUUCAGAGGAAUGAGUUAUUUUCAUAAAUUGGAAUAAUCUGGAACGUAUCCAUUUCAUUGCUUUUCAAAGACAGAAGAAAUUCUACAGCUAUCGUGUUCUCUUGCUUUGUGUUUUGAUGGCUCGGGUUUCUGAGAAACAGCCAAGAGGAAGCAGGAGGAAAGGGUGGUUUCAGCACUCAGCUCCGCUCCAAGCCUUGGCGGAUUGGGAACUGUUGUUCCGAAGAGCUCAUUAGAGAAAAGGUGUGAAUACACCACACUUUAUAAAGCAGCACAGGAGAGAGGACCUGGGUUCAAAUCCUGCUUCCGGAACAGGCCACUUAGCUUCUGUGUGACUCAGUUUCCUCAUUCAUAAAACCACAAUACACGGAGAAAUUUGGUGAACUGCGACACUCGGUGUGCCGGAUACCCAGUAAGGACACUAACAGCCGCCGUGUUUUCUGGGAGGAAGUGAUUGGAGUCGGGAGGGAGGUAGACUUGGUUAUGCCGCCUCACAACAGUACCUGAAGAAUAAACUCAUUCUCUAAAUUUUGAGUUCAACAUUUUUUCUUCAUUGCAUCAACUGUUUGUAAAGAAUAUAUUUAUUUUCUUCACUGUGUUAACACGUCCACUUGUAAAACACAGGGCACUUACUGUUUCACUACAAGCUCUUUUCUACAUGCUUUCCUUUUUAGAACAAUUUUGAUGGAUUCCUUUCUCCUCUAAUUAACAUAUCACGUUUACAACGAGUGCACCACUUGCUGUGGAAAAUCAAGACUUUCAAUUUUCAGGUCGUCAGCCGCUGACAUCGCAGUCCGACUUUAAACUGUAUGAAAUUACAUAUGACAUUUAGAAUUGAAUAACAGUGCUGACUGCCUCUGUGUCUAUGGAGAAAAAAGAACAUUUCUUUUGACCUAGUGUUAUCUUUUCCCCUUUUCCGCAAAUAAAUCACACCCAUGAGCUGAGAGCUUCUGCUGUUCUUUACGAUUCAUUGACCAACCAUGAGAGAGCAAACCAAUCAAAUGCCAAGAGUCUGGCCACCGUCCGUGCUCCUCUCCAGGGGACUGCUGUCUCCCCAGAAUCCUAGGCUUCAGAGAGAGCUGCUUCCUUGGAGAUUCCUGAGCUCAACUCUUUCAAAAGCUGACCUCUAAGAGGUGAAGCAGCGUGUGAAGUCGUGAAGCUAGCUGGUGAUGGAAACAGGGUGUAGGGAGGGUCUGAGCACCCCUCUGUGUGUUUCUGACUGACAGACUCUCCGUGCGUCGGGUCCUGUGUCAACUCCUCGAUUUCUCAAAUGACUUUCUGUAUUAUCAGGUGUUCUGUUAGCCACAUCACGCAGGCUCAGUACAGCUUGGUGCUUGUUCUUGCAACAGAGUUUGGCUGGAACACAGACAAGCUCAGGCGGGUAUUGUCUUCUUGCUGUGAUGAAAAAGUUAAGUCCUUGCACCAGGGACCACAUGAAGGCAAAGCCUCCCCUCUUUCCCACUAGGCCUGUUCCAGAUCUCAGCUGUAGAUCAAGCCUGGUUGAAAGUCGUUCUUUGCUGUUUUUACUCCGUGUAUCGGAGUUUAUUGUCUGAACUUGACAGAAUAGAGUUUGGACUGACAACAAUGAGAAAGAAGAAAGAAAACAGGAAGGACCUGCAUCUGUUUAUUUAAUGUGGAUGGGAAGUGUUCACUGGGUUUUAUACAUGUCGUCUCACUGCGUGUCUAUGGGAUGGAUGCUCUGGGUCUUAGCUUGUACAUAUGAAAACAAGCUCAGAAAGACAAGCACUAAGCUGCUUACGUUUGCGUCACCAAUCCUUAGCACAAGGACUUAGAUCCAGCCGUCCUCAGUCUAAAAAUCUGUUCAGUCUACUAUAUUGUGUGCUUUGUCAAGAUUGUCUCCUACUUUAAAAACGAUGUGACCUAGCAUCCUCUAAAUUUAAAUAAAAAUUUAAUUAAAUUUCAUCAUUUAAUUAAAAAUAUUAAUUAAAAAUAUAUAUUUAGUAACAAGUCAUGUUUAAUAAAUAGCUAACAAUAGACAAA